GCCCAUAUGGCUCAGUUGGUAGAGCGCACCCUUGGUAAGGGUGAGGUCCCCAGUUCGACUCUGGGUAUCAGCA
rnacentral:tRNA from 1 species